ACCCAGCUAGCUCAAUUAGUAGAGCAUGAGACUCUUAAUCUCAGGGUCGUGGGUUUGAGCCCCACGUUGCGUG